rnacentral:rRNA from 1 species
AGGAGAGUUUGAUCCUGGCUCAGGAUGAAUGCUGGCGGCAUGCCUAAUACAUGCAAGUCGAGCGGUAACAGGACUAGCUUGCUAGUUGCUGACGAGCGGCGGACGGCUGAGUAACGCAUGGGAACGCACCCCAAACUGAGGGAUAACGCACCGAAAGGUGUGCUAAUACCGCAUGUGAUCUUCGGAUUAAAGCUUUCGGGCGGUUUGGGAGCGGCCUGUGUACGAUUAGAUAGUUGGUGAGGUAAUGGCUCACCAAGUCGACGAUCGUUAGAUGGUUUGAGAGGAUGAUCAUCCAGACUGGGACUGAGACACGGCCCAGACUCCUACGGGAGGCAGCAGUAGGGAAUCUUUCACAAUGGGCGAAAGCCUGAUGGAGCAAUGCCGCGUGCAGGACGAAGGCCUUCGGGUUGUAAACUGCUUUUAUAAGCGAGGAAUAUGACGGUAACUUAUGAAUAAGGAUCGGCUAACUACGUGCCAGCAGCCGCGGUCAUACGUAGGAUCCGAGCAUUAUCCGGAGUGACUGGGCGUAAAGAGUUGCGUAGGUGGCGUCUUAAGUAGCUAGUGAAAUCUGGUGGCUCAACCAUUCAGACUGUUAGCUAAACUGGGAUGCUCGAGAGCGUCAAGGGUAACUGGAAUUUCUAGUGUAGGAGUGAAAUCCGUAGAUAUUAGAAGGAACACCGAUAGCGUAGGCAGGUUACUGGGGCGUUUCUGACACUAAGGCACGAAAGCGUAGGGAGCAAACGGGAUUAGAUACCCUGGUAGUCCCCU